UGCGUGUGGGUUUUGGCGUUGGUCUGGGGGUGGUGUUCUGCCUGAAUGCUGGUGUGCGUGGGCAGUGUGUUGUUUGCGUGCUGGGGUAGGAUGCCUGCCUCUUCGGAUUGCUGUGCAGGGGCCUGAACACAGCAGGCAUUUGUGAGCAUAUAUGCGAGCUCAGAGAUGCCCGGGAAGACGGGGGGCCCGAAUGGAAGCAGAAAAACACUUAUGGCCGCUGGGAAGUUGGGAGAGCCAGGCUGGGGCUCCGGCAGGCCCAGGGAAAGUUCCCUUUCUAGGCUCUUUAUUAAAAAAUUUAAAAGGAGGAGUUGAGGCGCCUUGAAUUUUCCUUCGCGAGUUUGGAGACCAGCCGAUUUUUCAUGAAGCAAGCAAGGGCCGCGGUCCCGGAUCCUGCAACAUAUACCUCAUUUUCUCCAGGCCUCUCCACUUGCCCGAGCUCUCAGCCACCAGGAGACAGACGGAAGGGGCUUCUGGGCUGUGUUGGGAGCGGGCAUUGUCCCCUACCCACUCCUGCACAGUUUCCCAAAGUCCAGCGACCUCCGACCCUCCUUGGGGAAAAAAAUACCAGUACCCAGACACCUCUGCACCCUGUUAUAUGACUGGGCUUGCUUCAGGAAUAUCUUACAAAGAAGAAGAAGGAGGAGGAACGGCUUGGAGUCAUGUUUACAUCUAGUUCUACUGAUCCGUUCACAUCUGGAGAGUUUAUUUAUAACUCCCUCUAUAACUCUCUGUUUGGAGGCACUGGUGGCUCUACUGACAGACUGAUGUCUAGGAAAUAUUGCUCUAUGUCUAAUGGUACCUAAAUGUGCUGUGGUUGUAUUUACAGAUUUACGUUUGAGGGAAAUAUAAUUAUUUCCAUUGUAUUUGUGCAUAUACAGUAGUUAUAGGAGCAGAUUUAUAUAUGGGAAAAUAUGCGACUCCCUUACAGCCAUCCGGCUUUAUGUACAUUUGAUAUCCUGACAGAUUUAUAUCUCUGAAGAGCUAUAUAGAUUAAAACGUAUAUUGUUAGAAUUAUGUAUCAGGAGAUAUAUACUUAUUGAUUGCGAAAUAGAGUAGUUAGAGCAUUCACUUAGAGCCAUAUAUGGCUAUGGAGAUAUUUCUAUAUUAUUAUCACUAUAUAUAGGCAUAUCUAUUUAUAACUGCAUAGUUAUAAAAAUAGACAUAA
rnacentral:lncRNA from 1 species